rnacentral:lncRNA from 1 species
GCGAGGCUGCUGGAGCGAGGCCCAGGAGAGGAUCGGGAGACGCGAGGUGGGCGGGGCGACGCUGCCGGAAGUCGGGCUGUGGCCUCCUGGAGCGGCGGGGGCGGGCCCGGCCGGCCCGGUUCUGGUCUGGCUCGGUGCUAAUGGACUGGGAGUAGGGGUGCCCCAGGUCCAGCGGGAGCGUACCCGCUUAGGAGUAGCCCAGGCACUGCCUGGCACCAGACUGCCCCAGCAAAUGUUUUCCCUCUCUAGGCCUCAUCGGAUCUCCCGGACUAACCAAAACAAAAUGAUGACCUAACUGUUGAGAACCGCUACUUUCUUCAUGCAAAGGCAAUGUCUUGGUCUGUUUUCUGUUGCUGUCACUGAGCACUACAGAUUGGGUGAUUCACAAAGAACCGAGAUUUAUUUAGUUCCUGCUCUUGGAGACUAGAAAGCCCAACACCAUGGCGCUGGCAUCCGUUUGGCAGAAGGUAAGAGCCUUCCAGCCGCCUCCUAACAUGGCAGAGGGCACCGCAGACAGGGCGGAGCAGGUGUGCUAGCUUGGAUCUCUCCCCCCCUUUUAAAGACUUGUUUAUUUAUUUGAAAGGCAGAAUUACAGAGAGAGAGAGAAAGAGAGAGGGAGGGAAACAGGUCUUUCGUUUGCUGGUUCACUCUCCAAACAUCAGCAGGAAGCUGGAUCGGAAGUGGAGCAGCUAGAAUUGAAAGCAGCACUCUUAUGGGAUGCCAGCAUCACAGGGGGUGGCUUAACCCUCUGGCCCCGCUCUUCCUUUUCUUAUAAAACUUCCAAUGCCAUCGUGGGCAUUCCACCCUCAUGACUUCCUCUUAUCCUAAUCAUCUUCCAAAGGCCCUGCCUCUGGAUACCAUCAGUAUAUGAAUUUGUUCAUGGAGUUUCCAACAUAUGAACUUCUAGAGGAUGCUAAGCUUAGCAGAUGAUUGUACAGGCUCCUGUGUGCUCCACAGGUCAAGGAUCCUGAUGUGAAUCUUCCACACUCUCUUGGGUUUUCUGCCAAUGCAGACCCUGGGAGGCAGCAGCAAGGGCUCCAGUAGUUGUUUUCCUGCCACCCACGUGAGAGCCUGGGAUUGAGAUCCUGGCCUCAGGCACAGUGGGCUGUUGCAGGCAUCUGGGGAGUAAACUAGCAAAUGAAAGCUCUCUCUCUCUCUCUGAUAAAAUUUAAAAGAGCUUUUUUUUUCUUUCCUUAAAGGAAGCAUACAGAGAGACAAAGAGCAUGCCUAGAGGAACACGGUGUGAGGACACAGAGGGAAGAUGGCAGGCUGCAAGCCAGGAAGGGGGGUCUCAG